rnacentral:rRNA from 1 species
UACGGGGGGGGCAAGCGUUGUUCGGAAUUACUGGGCGUAAAGGGCUCGUAGGCGGCCAACUAAGUCAGACGUGAAAUCCCCAGGCUCAACCUGGGAACUGCGUCUGAUACUGGAUGGCUUGAAUUCGGGAGAGGGAUGCAGAAUUCCAGGUGUAGCGGUGAAAUGCGUAGAUAUCUGGAGGAAUACCGGUGGCGAAGGCGGCAUCCUGGACCGAUAUUGACGCUGAGGCGCGAAAGCUAGGGGAGCAAACGGG